rnacentral:rRNA from 1 species
UACGAAGGGGGGCUAGCGUUGUUCGGAAUUACUGGGCGUAAAGCGCACGUAGGCGGACUAUUAAGUCAGGGGUGAAAUCCCGGGGCUCAACCCCGGAACUGCCUUUGAUACUGGUAGUCUUGAGUUCGAGAGAGGUGAGUGGAAUUCCGAGUGUAGAGGUGAAAUUCGUAGAUAUUCGGAGGAACACCAGUGGCGAAGGCGGCUCACUGGCUCGAUACUGACGCUGAGGUGCGAAAGCGUGGGGAGCAAACAGG